AUUGAACGCUGGCGGCAGGCUUAACACAUGCAAGUCGAGCGGAGAUGAGGUGCUUGCACCUUAUCUUAGCGGCGGACGGGUGAGUAAUGCUUAGGAAUCUGCCUAUUAGUGGGGGACAACAUUCCGAAAGGAAUGCUAAUACCGCAUACGCCCUACGGGGGACAGCAGGGGAUAUUCGGACCUUGCGCUAAUAGAUGAGCCUAAGUCGGAUUAGCUAGUUGGUGGGGUAAAGGCCUACCAAGGCGACGAUCUGUAGCGGGUCUGAGAGGAUGAUCCGCCACACUGGGACUGAGACACGGCCCAGACUCCUACGGGAGGCAGCAGUGGGGAAUAUUGGACAAUGGGCGGAAGCCUGAUCCAGCCAUGCCGCGUGUGUGAAGAAGGCCUUUUGGUUGUAAAGCACUUUAAGCGAGGAGGAGGCUACCUGGAUUAAUACUCUAGGAUAGUGGACGUUACUCGCAGAAUAAGCACCGGCUAACUCUGUGCCAGCCGCCGCGGUAAGAC
rnacentral:rRNA from 1 species